CCCCCAGGGGGGCCCAGGAAGUACAACCAGGCUCCUUGGGGGUGCAUUGGCCAUGGCCCUCGUUCUCGGCACGACUCUGGCUCUCUUCCUUCUGUACCGCUGGCAGCAGAAGAGCCAGUUAGGAAUUGACAUCAGUGGGAUGGACCUGUCCCUCUCCCAGAAGCUGGAGCCAGCUCCGGACAGGCAGAGUCAACUUGCAACUGAGGAGAUUCAGGGUCUCCACCUAGAGCUGGGGAGACAGCAGGAAGAAGAUCUUUCUCUACAGCCCCCCUACUAUGACCUGGGGGUCUCCCCCACCUACCGACCCUUGGUAAGAAUGGCUAAACCCUAGAACAGUAGGAGCGAUGUCCUUGCUCCUCCAUGGCCCAGUUGCCUUAGAGGGAAAAGACAGACUAAAGAAUGAGCAGAGGGCUGGAGAUACAGCUCAGUUGGUAGCACUGAAUGCUUAGCAUUCAGAAGGCCCUAGGUUUGAGCCCCAGCAUGG